AUAUCUUACUUUCUUCAGUUUUGUUUUGUUUUGUUUUGUUUUUUAAUUUAUUUUGAGACAGGGAGAGGGGCAGAGAGGGAGAAUCCCAAGCAGGCUCCUCACUGACAGUACAGAGCCCAGUGCGGAGCUCAAACUCAUGAACCAUGAGAUCAUGACCUCAGCCAAAGUCGGACUCUUAACCAAUAGAGCCACCCAGGUGCCCCUAAGUAUAGAUAAUUUUUAAUGGAAAUUACUGAUUUUUAAAAUUAAAAAAUUGAUUUUUAUCACAGGAAGGGAACUGAAUUAUAAAAAAGUUAGUCGUUGGGCCACAAAUAGAAAUAUUUACCAAGUCUGCUGACUCCCAACUGGUGGCCCUUAACUCCAUCCUUGCGCAAGACUUUUAGCCUCUAGUUAUCACGUAUCCACCACUUUGUGGGGAAGUAUUAACAGCAAUACUUCAAUAAUGUGUCUAUUCAUUCCUCUGGCCCAAAUCAGCUCACGCAGAGCCACAGAUGCACCAAGUCGUGAUGGAGGGUCUUCUGGCCGUGAAUGAAAACGAAACAUGGUUGUUAAGCCUUUUCUUCCUUGAACACCAGUUUCGAUUGCUGUUCGUUGUAUUUUGUAAAAUAAGUAAUGAGCUUCGUAACAAGGUUAGAUUUUUGUCUCCUGCUACGAUGCACAAAUAGCAGAACGCAUCCCCCUUUUACUCACUUGAAACGUUCCCAUGCUUUUGUAUUUGCUUCCACAUCGUAAAGUGGCGAUGGUCAGUCCGUACAUUGAGGGAAACGUGACGCAGCAGAAGCAGUAGAAAUGGAGAGGAGGCGACUGUGCCACGAUGAAAUCGGACAUUUACGUCUUCAGGAAUAAAUGUGACUCCAAUCCUAUUACCUCAGACAUUUACAACAAGCCUACUUCCAUGAACUGGCGAUCCAGUUCUUCGGUGACCUGAUACAGCACAAGUGCCUUCUAUAGCCUCCAUACACGUUAUCCUUGCUAAAAGAAAAAAACCAACUCAUUGAUAGUGGUUCGCCAAUCUACCCUCUCUUGCUAACUGGCACGGAAGCUAAACUGGCGGGGUGGGCAAGUAAAAAGAAAAGUUUUGAGUUUUUCUAAGCCCUUCUUUUUAAGCUUUCCUAAACUCUUGAGAGUCUUACAUUAUGAAUUUCAAUCUGCCAACAAACAAGAAGAGGAAAGAGUUUUAUUGGAGUGAGAUUACCUAUUAUACCCUUUUUUUAUCUGUUCUAAAGAAAAAUCUUAAGUAUACCUGAAAAGAACAUUGAUUCUAAAUAGAAAGAUUAUUGGUUGAUAACACUCUGUUGUGAAGGUUUAACAGGUUACUUUGAAAAGUAUGAAAAAGUAUACAAAUAUAAGGCAUUAUUAAUAUUUAAUAUUCACAGCUAUUUUUACUUGAUAAUAUGCUCAGAAAUACAGGUUGGGUAUCUUAGAGAUUGGGAGUUUGGUUUCUAGAAUUGUGUUUUUAUGACCAAAAGAAUUUGCAACAUAUUUGCAUCAUUUAAUGAAUUUACAACACAGUCAAGGAAAUAACACUUAAACAACUUUAACUUCUGAGACCUGCAUGUUUUUUACAGUGAUUAUUUACUAACAGAAAAGUUUGUUCACACUUAAGCUAUUGCCCAUAAUGCUAAUUAUGGAAUUUA